GACGAACGCUGGCGGCGUGCUUAACACAUGCAAGUCGAACGAAGUGGCGAACGGGUGAGUAACGCGUAAUCAACCUGCCCUUCAGUGGGGGACAACAGUUGGAAACGACUGCUAAUACCACAUACGGAAGGAGGGGUUUUCGUCUGGUUAGCUAGUUGGAGGGGUAAAGGCCCACCAAGGCGAUGAUCAGUAGCCGGGCUGAGCGGAUGAACGGGCUCAUCGGGAAGGAGGCAAGGGCCAGACUCCUACGGGAGGUAGCAGUGGGAGAUCUUGCGCAAUUGGCGAAAGUCUGAAGGGGCAACGCCGCGUGAGUGAUGACGGCCUUCGGGUUGUAAGGCUCUGUUAAUCGGGACGCGGUACCUGAAGAGAAAGCCACGGCUAACUACGUGCCAGCAGCCGCGGUAAUAC
rnacentral:rRNA from 1 species